GUUACGCCCGAGACCGCGCCGUUCCGUCUCGUCGUUUUGUCUCCGCAGGGGGUUCCGCCCACCGCGUGGAAAACGCGCCGCCGCUAGUCUCAUAGGAGCUCCAGCAGCCCCCCACCGCGUGGAAAACGCGCCGCCGCCGGUCUCAUAGGAGCUCCAGCAGCGCGCCCGUGGCCGCGAGACCGUGGCAGAGGGACUCGACAGCACCGCCAGCCUCCAACGCCUCCAGCAGCGCCGCCCUCGUCUUGCGUGAUCACAUCACGUCUUGAUCGCCGCCGCCCUCGUCUUUCAUGGUCGUCGUGAUCGGCAGCGUCUUCGCUUUCCCGAUCGUCCGGCGCCGCCAUGGAUGAUGAAGAUGCAGUCGCCGUUGAUUGUGCCUCCGUUGAGGCAACCGAAUGUAAACACAAUUCAAGCAAGGAUCUUUCCGAAUGUAAACAAAUGCUGGA